ACCACUUUUCUACAAGAUGCUGCCAACAAGGUGAUGGGAAUCAGUCAUGCUUGAGUAGUUGGAAAACAAUGACAAACUUCUACCACAGAAUUUUUUUCCUCGGUCAGCAAGACAGAGCCUAAGAAGGAAAGGAAGAAUUAUGCAAGGUGUUCAGAGCUAGCAAGAAUGCAAGGAGGAAUUAUGCAAGGUUUUCAGUUUCAGUCAGGAGAGCCUUGAUGGUAGUCACAACUACUCUCAGAAGUACUGAUCUUCUUGAGUCUUUCCAUAAUCACAACAUUUCCUCCUCGAAGGUAAGUCCUGUUUUAAUAAAUAAUUACAUAUUAUUUAUGUAAUUAUUGGUCCACAUUGAACAGAUACAUCAUAGUGACUUUGUACAAGUUGAUUUAAUUAUUUCUCAUGUUUGCAGUUAUAAAGGACAAAGGACAGACUGAACAAUAUCCUUAGAGUUAAGCCUGUGAUAUUGAUAGGGUCAGAAUGGACAGAAAGCACGGAAAAUACACCGUGAAUGCCGAAUGUGCUGGAAAUCAGAUGCCUAACACGUGUCCACAGGACCAAGAGGCUCACAGUUCCACAGGCUGGUGUCCACCUUCCAAUGAAAUAUCCAGUGAUGUUUCCUCCAACUUAUCUGGAAUCUUGAUGAGCCCAGGAAUCCUUGCACAGUCAAGAUGUCCACAGGCACAAUUAACCAGUGCACAGAUGAAAAGAGAAAACUGCAGUAACUGGUCACUGUGGAAAGUUUUCCUGGCUUGUCUUUUGGCAUGUGUGAUAACAACAGCAAUUGGAGUCCUCAUAGUAUGCUUGGUAAACAAUGAGGGAAAUAACUCCCCCAUUGUUAUCCAGCUGCUCACAAACAGUGAAGUGCCUACAGCAGCCUGUACAACCCCUGCCACUUCUGCUGAAACCACAACAGCAGCUGCUUCAUCAAGACCUACAACCCCUGCAGCCUCCACCAGUGCUAUAAGAGCAACUACUUCAUCUCAAGCUGUAACCGCGGUACAUGCAACUUCGGCCACAGGAUCUACAGCUGUGACAACACCCACGGAAACUACAGCCACAGCAGCCUCAACCAUCAUUCCCUCUCAACCUGCAAACACAAGGGCUAGCACGUCACGUGAAGGGACAAUUGCCACAUCUGCCACAGGAUCUACACCGACGACAGCAUCCAGUAGAGCUCUACCUGUAACAGCUUAACCCCUUCCCCAAAAGCCACACCUCUGAGUGAAGCCACAGCUGCCACCUAACACACUCUACAACUGUGAUAAUUUCAAUAAAUUUAGCUACUGCUCAGCCAAUCACUAUUUCCCAUUUUUCAAUGGUGCUCAUGACUAUGUUCACGUCAACUAAAUCUAUAACAAAUACUACUUCCACCUGCCUUGCUUAACAGUGCUCACCACUCUCCUUCAAUAUUUACAAUCUUCACUUUUUCAUUUGCACCUGCAAUCACAAAGCCUGCCCUUAUUUCCCCUUUACAGAAGUAACGUCAAUCACUACAAUGAUCUCUUCUAUAUCAAAUUAACCAAUAAUUAUCACAACUACAAAUAAACUAACAACUAUAAUCUACAUUGACUUUUUCCAAAGCUAAAAUUAUAGCUUCCACUGGUACAAUAACUGAAUCAAUAUUGUCAUUACUUAUAUUUUCUUUUCAUCAUCAUUAGUAUACUGUACCUGCAGCAAUUAUCAUGAUGCCACUUGAAGAACAGUAAUUUCACUAUGAAUAAUGGAAUAAUUCCCACAAUUUUCAUGAAAUCAACACUUCAGAUUUCUGGAACUAUUAAAGCUGGGUUAUUUUUAUAAUUAAGCUAUAAGAACUUGAUUUGGUUCAAUAGUUUGAAAUAAUACAGUUUCAUAUAGAAAAAGUGAUUGAUUUGUUCAUUUAGGAAAUAAGUAAGACAUUUAUAUAAAUCUUUACGUAAAACUAUAUUUAAACUUUAAUAUGUACUUGUUUCAGUUCAAAACAUUUUUAUUACUGUAUGUAAAUUAUAUGCAUGAUGAGCAGAAAUUUUACAUCCAAAAGAUUUAAAUUUAUGUAGAAAAUAUAUGUAAGAAUUUAUAAAAAUUAUUUCUUCUAUGGUAAAGUUUGUUAUAUUUAAAAAAUUUUUUUAUAUUGUAAUUGCCUUUUAGCCAAUAGUAUCCUAUUUAUGCUAAUAUUACAGAAAGCAUAUUUGGGCAUUUUGAAAUUAUAUUUUAAAACUAAAUAAUUAUCUGCAGUCUUGAAAGUCAUUUGGCUAAAUGAUAUUUCUUAAGUCCCUAUGUGCUAAAGCACCGAAAAUGUGCAGAAAAAGAAAAUAGCAAUUCGCAAUAAGUAGUAAAUUAUUAAUUUAUGCUGUUAAUUUUGAUUCUUGAUAUUUCUGGGAAAUUAAAUUAUGAUUGAUGAGGCCCCAUCCAAAGUAAAUUAGGAUCUUAGGUUGGAACUAGUAAUCUAUAAUUAAAAAAAAUCUUCAUAGAAGUUUGUUGGGUUUAGGAAGUUUUGAGAAUAGAUUCAAAGGUCAUAGUAUAGGGCUGGGGAUUUAGCUCAGUGGCAAAAGCGCCUGCCUUGCAAGUGCGUGGUUGUGAGUUCAAUCCCUGGUACUGGUAAAAAAAAAAAAAAAAGGUAAUAGUGUAAUAAUAUCAUUUAAAAUCAAGGCAAUUAAUAGUUACAAUAUUAAAAAUUAGAAUUAUGUUCUAAGCAUAUAAGAAAUCAUAGAUACUGCUAAGUAUGAAAACUUAUUUAACUUAGUCAAUACCAGAUCAAGAGGGGACUAUUUUACUUACAAGAUGGUAAAGAAACACUUUUAAGAAAAACUUUAAAUUUUAUAUUUCUGUGAGCAUUUCAUAUCAUUUAAUUUCUAAAAGAAGAAUCUGUUAAUUUUAUUUGCUGAGUUAGUUAGGUG
ensembl:lincRNA